rnacentral:rRNA from 1 species
AGCAGCCGCGGUAAUUCCAGCUCCAAUAGCGUAUAUUAAAGUUGUUGCAGUUAAAAAGCUCGUAGUUGAAUUUCGGGAUCAAUAUGUCGGUCGUGCCUUCGGUACGUACUGGCAUCAUUGGUUUCUCCCUUCUGACAAACCAUGAUGUCAUUAAUUUGGUGUUAUGGGGAGUUAGGACUGUUACUUUGAAAAAAUUAGAGUGUUUAAAGCAGGCAUUAGCUUGAAUACAUUAGCAUGGAAUAAUGAAAUAGGACGUUUGACCCUAUUUUGUUGGUUUCUAGGAUCGACGUAAUGAUUAAUAGGGAUAGUUGGGGGCAUUAGUAUUCAAUUGUCAGAGGUGAAAUUCUUGGAUUUAUUGAAGACUAACUACUGCGAAAGCAUUUGCCAAGGAUGUUUUCAUUAAUCAAGACGAAAGUUAGGGGAUCGAAGACGAUCAGAUACCGUCGUAGUCUUAACCAUAAACUAUGCCGACUAGGGAUCGGAUGAUGUUAAUUUUUAAUGACUCAUUCGGCGUCCG